rnacentral:rRNA from 1 species
GAACUGAAGAGUUUGAUCAUGGCUCAGAUUGAACGCUGGCGGCAGGCCUAACACAUGCAAGUCGAGCGGAUGAAGGGAGCUUGCUCCUGGAUUCAGCGGCGGACGGGUGAGUAAUGCCUAGGAAUCUGCCUGGUAGUGGGGGAUAACGGUCCGGAAACGGGCGCUAAUACCGCAUACGUCCUGAGGGAGAAAGUGGGGGAUCUUCGGACCUCACGCUAUCAGAUGAGCCUAGGUCGGAUUAGCUAGUUGGUGGGGUAAAGGCCUACCAAGGCGACGAUCCGUAACUGGUCUGAGAGGAUGAUC